ACUGAAUAGAUACCCGGGUAGUCCACGCCGUAAACGAUGAAUACUAGGUGUGGGGGUUGUCAUGACCUCCGUGCCGCCGCUAAACGCAUUAAGUAUUCCGCCUGGGGAGUACGGUCGCAAGAUUAAAACUCAAAGGAAUUGACGGGGGCCCGCACAAGCAGCGGAGCAUGUGGUUUAAAUUCGAAGCAACGCGAAGAACCUUACCUAGACUUGACAUCUCCUGAAUUACUCUGUAAUGGAGGAAGCCCUUCGGGGCAGGAAGACAGGUGGUGCAUGGUUGUCGUCAGCUCGUGUCGUGAGAUGUUGGGUUAAGUCCCGCAACGAGCGCAACCCUUAUUGUUAGUUGCUACCAUUUAGUUGAGCACUCUAGCGAGACUGCCCGGGUUAACCGGGAGGAAGGUGGGGAUGACGUCAAAUCAUCAUGCCCCUUAUGUCUAGGGCUACACACGUGCUACAAUGGCUGGUACAGAGAGAUGCAAUACCGUCGAGGUGGAGCCAAACUUUAACC
rnacentral:rRNA from 1 species